rnacentral:rRNA from 1 species
GAUGAACGCUGGCGGCGUGCCUAAUACAUGCAAGUCGAGCGAACGGACGAGAAGCUUGCUUCUCUGAUGUUAGCGGCGGACGGGUGAGUAACACGUGGAUAACCUACCUGUAAGACUGGGAUAACUUCGGGAAACCGGAGCUAAUACCGGAUAAUAUUUUGAACCGCAUGGUUCAAAAGUAAAAGACGGUCUUGCUGUCACUUAUAGAUGGAUCCGCGCUGCAUUAGCUAGUUGGUAAGGUAACGGCUUACCAAGGCAACGAUGCAUAGCCGACCUGAGAGGGUGAUCGGCCACACUGGAACUGAGACACGGUCCAGACUCCUACGGGAGGCAGCAGUAGGGAAUCUUCCGCAAUGGGCGAAAGCCUGACGGAGCAACGCCGCGUGAGUGAUGAAGGUCUUCGGAUCGUAAAACUCUGUUAUUANGGAAGAACAUAUGUGUAAGUAACUGUGCACAUCUUGACGGUACCUAAUCAGAAAGCCACGGCUAACUACGUGCCAGCAGCCGCGGNUAUACGUAGGUGGCAAGCGUUAUCCGGAAUUAUUGGGCGUAAAGCGCGCGUAGGCGGUUUUUUAGUCUGAUGUGAAAGCCCACGGCUCAACCGUGGAGGGUCAUUGGAAACUGGAAAACUUGAGUGCAGAAGAGGAAAGUGGAAUUCCAUGUGUAGCGGUGAAAUGCGCAGAGAUAUGGAGGAACACCAGUGGCGAAGGCGACUUUCUGGUCUGUAACUGACGCUGAUGUGCGAAAGCGUGGGGAUCAAACAGGAUUAGAUACCCUGGUAGUCCACGCCGUAAACGAUGAGUGCUAAGUGUUAGGGGGUUUCCGCCCCUUAGUGCUGCAGCUAACGCAUUAAGCACUCCGCCUGGGGAGUACGACCGCAAGGUUGAAACUCAAAGGAAUUGACGGGGACCCGCACAAGCGGUGGAGCAUGUGGUUUAAUUCGAAGCAACGCGAAGAACCUUACCAAAUCUUGACAUCCUUUGACAACUCUAGAGAUAGAGCCUUCCCCUUCGGGGGACAAAGUGACAGGUGGUGCAUGGUUGUCGUCAGCUCGUGUCGUGAGAUGUUGGGUUAAGUCCCGCAACGAGCGCAACCCUUAAGCUUAGUUGCCAUCAUUAAGUUGGGCACUCUAAGUUGACUGCCGGUGACAAACCGGAGGAAGGUGGGGAUGACGUCAAAUCAUCAUGCCCCUUAUGAUUUGGGCUACACACGUGCUACAAUGGACAAUACAAAGGGCAGCGAAACCGCGAGGUCAAGCAAAUCCCAUAAAGUUGUUCUCAGUUCGGAUUGUAGUCUGCAACUCGACUACAUGAAGCUGGAAUCGCUAGUAAUCGUAGAUCGGCAUGCUACGGUGAAUACGUUCCCGGGUCU